rnacentral:rRNA from 1 species
UACGGAGGGUGCGAGCGUUGUCCGGAAUCACUGGGCGUAAAGGGCGCGUAGGCGGCCCGGCCAGUCAACGGUGAAAGCUUGGGGCUCAACCCCGAGUCGGCCGUCGAUACUGCUGGGCUGGAGCACUGUAGAGGCAGGUGGAAUUCCGGGUGUAGCGGUGGAAUGCGUAGAGAUCCGGAAGAACACCGGUGGCGAAGGCGGCCUGCUGGGCAGUAGCUGACGCUGAUGCGCGACAGCGUGGGGAGCAAACAGG